rnacentral:rRNA from 1 species
GACGAACGCUGGCGGCGUGCCUAACACAUGCAAGUCGAACGGAGAAUUUUAUUUCGGUAGAAUUCUUAGUGGCGAACGGGUGAGUAACGCGUAGGCAACCUGCCCUUUAGACGGGGACAACAUUCCGAAAGGAGUGCUAAUACCGGAUGUGAUCAUCUUGCCGCAUGGCAGGAUGAAGAAAGAUGGCCUCUACAAGUAAGCUAUCGCUAAAGGAUGGGCCUGCGUCUGAUUAGCUAGUUGGUAGUGUAACGGACUACCAAGGCGAUGAUCAGUAGCCGGUCUGAGAGGAUGAACGGCCACAUUGGGACUGAGACACGGCCCAAACUCCUACGGGAGGCAGCAGUGGGGAAUCUUCCGCAAUGGACGAAAGUCUGACGGAGCAACGCCGCGUGAGUGAUGAAGGAUUUCGGUCUGUAAAGCUCUGUUGUUUAUGACGAACGUGCAGUGUGUGAACAAUGCAUUGCAAUGACGGUAGUAAACGAGGAAGCCACGGCUAACUACGUG